AGAAAACAUGGUCAUGAUUUAUGUAGAUUGGACAGUCCCUUCAAACUGCAGUCUUUGAUCUAGAGUGGACAAUCUAACUAUAUGUUUCCUUUUAGAAAAUGACUAUAUGUUCCAUGAAUUCACUGCUUAUUUUGGCCAGAUCAGAUUAAACCAGGUCUUGAUUUCAAGGUUCAGUUAAGGCAGUUGGUGCAGAUUUUUCAUUCUAGGUUGUGGAAAACGCAUGUAGCGUUCCUUCUACAAGUCGUCAUGAGCUGGGACAUAGAAGAAGAGAGCCGACGAGAAGUCGCGAAGCGGUUCGCUCCGGUGUCGCUGCCAAUGGCGCUGCACAAAGUGCAGAUUGCAGGCUAGAUGCGUACAAAUCCGUCCCUACUUCCACGACGUGGAAGCAAAGGAAAUUUAGUCAAUUAGAUAGUAUAUUUGGUUAUGAAAGUUAUCUUUUGUGUAUGCAGUUUUGCCAUCAUUUUGUAAAAGCUUUGAGUUUUUUAUAAUGUAAUUGUCUUACUAAUCACACUUUUAAUUGAUUUGUGCCAAGGCUAAUAGCCAAGUUAUGCACAAACUGUUCAUGUUU